ACCGCGCAGCUCGCAUAGUCGCUGAAUCAUAUUGAUUUCCUCCUCGGGUGAUAGAACAGAGUAUCUAACGCAUAUUCCGUGACAAAAACACACCUCAACACCAAUAUUCAACCGAAAUAGCCAGUUCUGUUGAGCGAGGUUAUUAAACUGAGCCGAAUGCGACACAGGGAGCGGUAACGAGGUGAUGUCAGAGGCUCGUUCCCUGACCGGGCCUCAGUUACUCCUCGACGACCGCGAGGCCUGUUAAUCGUUCCUCCGGCUGCUUGUGUGCGCUGUAAUGCUGUCCUGCCAUGCGGAAACUUCGGGAAGAAGCCACAGUAUUGAAUAUGAAUUGCUGAGUGUGAGAGAUCGGUUUGGAUCGUGGGUGAUUCGCUGCGUCAUGGACUUCGGAUGACAAAUAAGGAACGGCUAUGGCUAUGGUCAUCGUCAAACCGCCUGUACACUGCACGAGGGCAACUAAAUAUGGAGCCAGAACACAUUACGCAGUGCGACCUCCGCCCACAUAACCCAUGUGCACUUUGGACUUCAAUUAAAUAAUUCGGAGGCAAGAUCGGUAGCGAAGAAACUAUUUUCACCUGGGGGAAUUUUCGAUUCACGCUGGGACUGGACUAAUUACUGUCUGCAUGAUCCCACAGGAUAAAAAUGGAACCAUAUUAAGGAUUCUUUUCGAAUAAUGUAAAGAGACGAUUUGUGUUGUGGUCUAGUCGGCGAAUAAAGAAGAGUCGUAGAAGUGUUGCGGACAAGAUCGGCGGCUACAUUAUUGGAAAUGUUUUGAUCUGUGGAAGCUGUAUCCUGCCACCGUCUUUCUCUUGCUCUGUGCACCUGUCUUUGAAAUAUAUCGGAUGAUAAAGAU